UCGAAGGUAGCAUAAUCAGUAGUUUUUUAAUUGAAAACUUGUAUGAAUGGUUGAACGAAAUAUUAGCUGUUUCAUUAAAAUAUGUAGAAAUUAACUUUUUUGUUAAAAGGCUAAAAUAAUUUUAAAAGACGAGAAGACCCUAUAGAGUUUUAUAUUUUUUUAUAUUUAAUUAAUUUAGAAUAAGUAAAUUUUUAUUUUAAAAAAUAUUUUAUUGGGGUGAUAUUAAAAUUUAAAAAACUUUUAUUAAUGAAUUACAUUAAUUUAUGGUUAAUUGAUCCAAUUAUAUUGAUUAAAAGAUUAAAUUACCUUAGGGAUAACAGCGUAAUAUUUUUAUAGAGUUCUUAUCGAUAAAAGUUUUUGCGACCUCGAUGUUGGAUUAA
rnacentral:rRNA from 1 species